AAGGAAUUCAAAUUCCUGAAAAACAAAUGGGCUUGUUGAUAAAGAACAAUAUGCAGAGUCCGUUUUUUCCACCAUGCCUGUAAUAUCCAUCACCAGGUUUGUUUCUGUGGAUGCCAGCUCAGUUUCAAGGCACUGCUUUGAUAGACAAUGGUUGGAAAGUAACUCCAAAACAUCAUAUUGCAUGGAUCCCAAUAGCUCCUUCCCAUCUCUUAGCAGGUUAUCAUUCUGACUCCAUUGAGUUUUCAUAUUUUCAAGAAAUGACAAAAGUUCAUCUUCCAUGGACAGGUUUGUGAAAGUUCUCAGGCUUAUCUCAUCCACUUCCAAUAAAGGAAAUAAGUUACAAUGGAAGUUCAUAUGUUCAUGACCAGAAUCAUCAUCUUCCAACACACAAGCUCUUACAUCCAUGUCAUACUCUAAGGUAACAUCUUCAACUGAAUAAACUGAUUCUUUCACCUUCUCAAAGUGCUGCAUUUUAAGCCCAGGCCUGACAGAAUCCUGGAUGUAGAAAGACGAAUAGAUAGAAUGAUGAAGUGUGACAUUAUUUGGAUCACUCACAAUCUCUGGAACUUCAGAAAGAAUUUCCAUGGUCUCCUCAAAAAGGCAAACUUCUUCCUGAAAAAUUACACAAUGCAUAAGAACAGAGUUCUGACAAAAUGCAGAUCUUACAGACUGCUGUAGACUUUCACUUUACCGAGAAUUCAUCAAGUUCUGGUGCUUCAAAUUGGAUGACUACAAGCCUCUGCAUAUGCUUCUCGUCCACGGUAGUCUCGCUAUCUUUCUGCAAUGGCAUUGCCUGGACUUCAGGGAAAACCCCAA
rnacentral:misc_RNA from 1 species